UUAGUAUUGACAAGCACUCCCUGAAAUAACAUCUGACAAUAAAAAUUUAAAAAGGAAACAUUUCUCUUGUUUUGUCAGCAAUGGCGAAAUUCACUGUUCGUUUAAAUUGUUUUUUGAAAAUAGACAUUUACGUUGCUUAAAUGAUAACUAAAAAUGCAUAGUCCUAGGUUUGCGAGCGUGGCAAACUGAAAUUCAUACUCAUCUGAUAACGAUAUGGAUCAACAUAUUAAUCACAGCGAAACACGUUCAUCCGAAAGACUUAUCGACCGCAUCAUAUCCAGACUUAGAAUAAUCAAACGUAGAUCGCAGAAUAUUAUAGAGUACUAUAACGUGGAGCUUGGCCAAUACUAGCAGUAGUACCAGUAAUACCAUGGAAACAUCUAGAGCUACUGAUACAGGCAUAUGUACCGUUACAAGUCUCUCUAGUUUUGAAGAUGAUAAUCCUCUGGAUCAAAGAGUCUCGUUAACGAAUGUUCCACCUUUUUGUAAUCAACUUCAAAAAUUUAUCAAUUAUAUUAAGAGUAUCAGUGAUUUGAAUUAUUUCACGUAUGAAUAUCCAAAUAUCAUUCAAAAGCGUUUGAAUUCUGACGCACAAGAAUUGGAAAAUAUGUUACAAGAUGUGAAAAGUGCUCUUGUUAAUAUAGAGAAAUUGAAGGUGCAGCAAAAAUUGGUGAAGAAGGAAAAAGUAACCGUGAAGAAAACUUUAAAACGAAUGAGGGACGAUGAAAUUCGCGAAAUAGAAGGUAUCGUUGCUCUUUACGACAAAGUAAUGUUUUCACGAUGGGAGAGUAUAAGAAACACUAAUAAAUCAGAUCUACUGGAAGGAAUGUUAACCGACAUAAAGUGUAAGCAGCUCGCACUGGAGAAUUUGGGAAAUCUUGUAUCACAAAAAUUGAAACAGCUGGACAAAUUCUCUAUCACGCCGCAAAGCAGCAAAGAAAAAUAUUCUCUGUGCAAAGAUAAAGUAGCAAUUCCUCUUCCUUUUCCUUCAUUCACUCAAGUGUCACAUGAAAACUCUUCAAAAAUUCCACCACCACCGCCAAUGCCGCCAUCGUUAUUGUCUUUGCCAUUAGCACCACCUUCUUCUAUACCUGUUCUAUCGAAUCUUUCAAGAAACAAACACGUAGAGCGUUUAUCGAUGCAAAGACGGCGCAGAAAUGAAAGACGAGAAGAAAUGUUGGAAAGAAGAUAUCUUGUUUCUAGUAACACUGACGACCUACCAUUAAUGCAUUUAACUCUUAAUGAUAUAUCCCACGGUUUAGUUGGCACUGUUUAUCCAACAAUAAUUAACAAUAGCAGUAACUUGAUUCAUGACAUAGGUUCUGCCAGCAGUAGCUCUAAUGCAAUUACUAGAAGCAAUGUGAAUGGUGUACAUUUGGCAAGUAUUAAUAACGAUAACGGAUUGCACAAUACACUAGGAAAUGAAUUUCAUAGCGAAAUGCAGACUGUUCUGCAAGCGCUUUUCGGUGACCUUAGAACAUUACCCCCAUCUCUGGCACCUUAUGAUAGUUCUAGCAAUGCGACGACAGAAAGCGUUGAUGGGGCCAAUAUUGAACUUUUCACAUUAGAAAAACCAUGACAAGUAAUGACCCAAGGUAGUUUUGGAAGGAAGCUGAGCACAGCAUCCGAAAACCUACUGUGUGGUACAUCAUGUUCCAAGAAAUGUCGCCCGGAUCUUCCUCCUCAUCUUGAAGAACUAUGUCACUCGGAGCUGACCACUGAUCUUCUGAUAAUAAUUCCAAAGCUACUAUAUCGCCAUCUACUGCUCUGUUUAAACCUACACGACCUUGUACCAAGAC